GAGUGCACAAGGACUCUCACGGUUACAAAGGAUACGAAGCAGCCAAUUUAUGCCUACUACCAACUUGACAACUUUUAUCAGAAUCAUAGGAGUUCAUGCCCCGGUCAAAUCUAGAGCUAUGCAUGCCUAUGUCAUCUCUCACAGAUCACUGUUCUUUUCAUUCCUCCAAUUGAAACCAUGGCUGCCAGUAUUGAGGGUCAGGAUUCUGUACUAGACGUGAUGAGAUAAAAUGAGGUCUGAAUUUUUUAGCCAUGCUUUCUUAGCUCAUGAAGGCAGGAGCAUAUGUGAUUUUUCUGUACCACCUUCCCGCGGCUCUGAGGAUUUUGUCUGCUCGCUGCCUCUCCGCUAUUUAUUUGUUGUGUCUACUGCAUUGUUUGUUCUGCCACCCUUUUCCUCAGUUGCUAGCGGGGGGCCUUGGCUUAUCGUAUUGUUUGUUGCCUUCCUCUCAUAGAUUCGUUGGUAUUAUAAACCAUUUUUGUUGUAGUAAUAACUACAAUGUCAAAUAAAUUUACAUUUCACCUUGCUUCCACUAUUAUUCAAGUUUUUUCCUGCUUAUUGGUCGUACUAGCAAGAUGGUUUUUGUUUUUUUACCGUGUCUAACAUAGUGUAUUUCUACGAUUUUUCUCUGUUAAAACGUAUCCACUUCCAUGCUCUUUUCUCUAUUUUAGUACACAAUAGUAUGGCUGCAUACUACCAAUUGCAGAAAUUAUUCAUUUGCCACUAAAAUAUAUAUUUUCCUAUUCACAAAUUAAAUAAAAACAAAGAUGAAGUUGGUCCCCGGAUGCCUAAUAUGUUCUUUCAUAUCCUGGUCAGUUUACCAGGUAACAGAAUUAAUACUUCUUGUUGGUUCAAUAGUCAAUACCAGUGUUGUGAGAAAAUUCCUUACGGUUGUUGUAUUUUGGUAGCUUCUUCUUUUGCAAGUGGCAAAUUACUGUUAUGUAUAUGUGGAAUCC